UGGCUGUUUUGUCUCAUUGAAUGACGUUACGUGGCACAUACAUUAGUACAUGUCUACAGUUUGCAUAUCAGUCAUGAGUGCGGAGUGUUGAAAGACUCGCAUCGCCAAAAGACAGCGGAGAGGCAGAGAAACAAAGCUGCCAUUUACUAAAGGGAUGUAUGAGGCGGACACGACAAUCAUGGAGAUAAUAACUGUAAGUAUUAAGAAAGAAGACUGUGAAUGGGAGAGCAUCCACCCUAAACAAGAGCGUCUCUGCAUUAAUGAUGGGGAUUGUGAACUGGAGUCAGUGGACAUUAAAGAAGAGGCUAAGGAAAGGUCUGUCAGCAUUGAGAUGUGCAGACGUACAAGUAUGGAGAGGGUCAAGGAAGACGACCUUCCUUUUGGAUUUCCAGAUGGAGUGAUGACCGGCAAACACUGUUCAUCUCCGGAACCUUCUAUCAAUGUGAAGUCUGAAUUGGUCCAGUCAGACACAAAAAAGACUGGAGAAGUUUCUUCUUUUAGAACUCUGAAAGAUCAGCCACCAUCUACAAAUAAGUCUGUAAAAAAAGAAAAACAUCACCGCUGUCCUCAAUGUGGCAAACGAUUCUAUGACAGAAGCACUCUGCGGAGACACAUAAGAAUUCACACAGGAGAGAAGCCAUACUGCUGUAAAGAAUGUGGUAAAGAAUUUUCUCAAGGCAGCCACUUUCAGAGCCACAAAAGAAUUCAUACGGGAGAACCCUGUGAAAAGAUAUAUAGUUGUUUGGAAUGUGGCAAACAUUUUUCAAAAAGUAGCCACCUACAAAGACACACUAGAAUUCAUACUGGAGAGAAACCAUAUCACUGUUCUGAAUGUGGCAAACGAUUCUCAAACACUACCAGUCUUCAUAGCCACAACAGACUUCACACGGGUGAGAAGCCAUAUGCCUGUUCUGAAUGUGGCAGACACUUCAGUUACAGAAAUAAACUUCAGAGACACACUAGAAUUCACACUGGAGAGAAACCAUACUGCUGUUUGCAAUGUGGCAAACACUUCUGUGACAGUACUAGUCUUCAGAGACAUGCUAGAAUCCACACUGGAGAAAAGCCAUAUUACUGUUCUGAAUGUGGUAAAAAGUUUUCUCAGAGGACCAGUCUUCAGAACCACAGAAGAGUUCACAUGGGAGAGAAGCCAUAUUGUUGUUCUAAAUGUGGCAAAGGAUUCUGUCGAAGGAGUCAUUUUACAAGGCAUAUUAGAAUUCAUACGAAAGAGAAGCCAUAUUGCUGUUCAGAAUGUGGCAAAAAAUUUUUGAGAGUGAGCUACCUUCAGAGCCACCAAAGAAUUCACACAGGAGAGAAGCCAUUUUCCUGUUCUGAAUGUGGCAAACAAUUUCUGCAUAUGAGCAGUCUUAAGAGACACUCAACAUUUCACACUGGAGACAAGUCAUUUCGCUGUUCUGAAUGUGGGAAACAAUUUACACAGAUGGGUAGCCUUAAGAGACACUCCACAGUUCACACAGGAGAGAAGCCAUAUUGCUGCUCUGAAUGUGGGAAACGAUUUACGCAGUUGAGCAGUCUUAAGAAACACUCAACAGUGCACAGAGGAGAGAACAAGGAAGCCUUGAAGGAGUAAGUUGGCUGGUGGAGAAAAGAGUGAAAUGUAAUCCACCUAACUACUUAUCAAGUCUUGAUGAAUAUCUUUAUAUGGGGUGCUUCAUUGUAUGAGAUCUAUAUCCUAUCUCAUCAUGGACAAACUACUUUUAUAGUGUGAAGAGGAUCUAACAGAGUAAUUCAUACUGGCUGCUUAUUGCCCAUAUGAAAAGGGUGACCUGCCUCGGCCCUAGAGUAGUUGAUGGUGAGAGGGAAAGUGCAAUGUCUUCAAAUGAAGAGAAAAAGACUGCCAAUGUGGUGACAGUCCAGAUGGACAGCAUUGCUGGCCCCACCACAGUAAAACAGGUCUUCUGCAUUUGGCCACAUGUUCUCAUCCACAUCACACCUGAUAUCUUCUCUGGCAAGGCAUCGUGGGAAGAAUCUUUUGGCAUGCCUUAUCCACCCCUGGCAGUGUUCAGCUGUGAUGUCUUGGCAUGCAGCAUCCUUUGCAUUCAGGAGGGACAUUUGGUCAUGUGGACGAUGGUCAAAAACCUUCCAUCUCCAGGCUGAGAAAAACUCCUCAAUAGGGUUGAGGAAAGGGGAGUAAGGGGCAAGGAAAUGGGACAUCAUCCUUGGACAUCCUUGGAUGGGUGUCAAACCAGGCUGUGACUGCACGGGAAUGGUGGAAUGCCACAUUGUCCCAUGUGAUAACAUAUAUUGGCAAGUGGUCUCCCACCUGUCCCCUUUCUACCUCUGGCACCAGUCUUUCGUGCAGGUCUUCAAAAACAGGAGAAGGUGGUUGGUGUUGUAGGGGCCAAUCUGACAUUUAUGCAGGAGUGCACCGUUGUUGGAAAUUUUGAGGCACACAUGGUGAUGUUGGCUCCUCUCUGGCUCGGCACAGUAACUGUGGCCCUUUGGCCUAUUAUGUUUCUCCCACGGCAACGCCUUUUCGCCAAGUUGAAGCCAGCCUCGUCAACAUAGAUAAUUUCAUGUGGGACUUGAUUGGCCUCCAACUCCAUGACUCUCUGAAAGUAAUUACACACAGUGUAUGUACAAACCGGAUUCCAAAA